CGACAGCCCAUUCCAGUGUCCAAGCACCCUCCCUGUGAAAAAAUUCUUCCUACUGCCCAACCCAAACCUCCCAUGGCACAGCUUGGGUCUGCAUCCUGUCCUCCCACUGCUGAUAAGAGGCUGACCCCCGGUUUUCCAAGAAGGAAGACAAGGAAGACAAGGAAAGGCCAUGCUCGUGGAGGAUGCUGGACACAGUGUGACAGCACAGCUCCCCAGUGAACACAAAACCAGUGCUGUUAUAAUUUCCCUGAGGGCAUAAAGAAAUGGUUUCAUUGAUGGAAAGUGCCAGUCUACCAGCAGAGAGACAGCUGGCUCUGAGCAUUUGGGAUAGGAGCCUGGUCCAUCUGGCUGGAUGUCCCCAAACCAAAAGAUGACAACUGCAAUCACAUAACCGAGCCUGGGGCACCUGCAAGGUGGGGAACGAUGGCCCGCAGAGGUGGAGGCGCUGCCGCGGCUGGAAGCUGGCAGUGGGAAGCAGCCGGGUGAUGACCAGGCUGGCAGCAGCGAGCAGGGACACGCAGCUCCGGGGCAGCUGCAGGGCGGGGAGCGGGACCGGCGGCUCCGAGCGGGGACAGCGCAGGCGGGGAGCAGCCCACGCCUGCUGCCUUAACGGGAUUUUCCAGAGCACUUUCUGCCCCAGCAACGGAAAGGGAAGCUCGCCUGCCUCUUCCGAAGGCUGGGGUGAACGUGUGCGGGCGACGUGACACCUGCAGAGCCCGCAGUUGCCCGGCUGUUGGCAGGGAGGGAGCCGCGCACCGAGCAGCUGAUCGCUGCGGGGAGGAGGCGCACGGAGGCGGCUGCGAGGAACGGAGAGGGCUGACCUAAAUAGAUGCUCAGCUAAUUUAUUCAUUUCUCUGCUUUAUUAUUUAACACAACUUCGAAGCAGCUCAGGACUUCUGGUUCCUCUCGGCUCUGCUGCUGACGUUGGGGAUGGGGUUAUUUUUUACCUGAUUUUGCUGUCUUGCUCAGCACCCCUCUAUCCCGGCAGGCAGGCCAGACACACUAUGGGAAAGCUCCAAAACAACCACUUUCUAGCCCGGAGCACAGAAAGGACUUAUUUUAAGUUAUUUUGAGCUUUUGAUUCACCUCCUGCUUAAGAAGCUGUUCGAAUUUUGGCCUGCCUUAUGCAUUGCUAAUAGGGAGAUUUAUCCCCAACUUAGCUGGCC